rnacentral:rRNA from 1 species
UACCGGAUAGGGAAUGGGGUGUGGAAUCCUCCCAUUCCAGAAAGCUUCGGCGCUUCACGAUCGGUCGGCGGCCCAUCAGGUAGUUGGUGAGGUAAUGGCUCACCAAGCCUAAGACGGGUAGGGGCCAUGAGAGUGGUUGCCCCGAGAAGGACACUGAGAUACUGGUCCUAGCCCUAAGGGGUGCAGCAGUCGCGAAAACUCCGCAAUGCGCGCAAGCGUGACGGGGGGAUUCUGAGUGCUUACGGUUUAUCCGUAGGCUUUUCGUUAGGGUAAAUACCUAGCGGAAUAAGUGGUGGGCAAGACUGGUGCCAGCCGCCGCGGUAACCCCAGCGCCACAAGUGGGAACCACGUUUAUUGGGUCUAAAGCAUCCGUAGCCGGCUCGGCAAAUGCCCUGUGAAAUCGUUUCGCUCAACGGAACGGCGUGCAGGGUAGACUACCGAGCUAGGGACCAGGGGAGGGAGGCGGUAUUCCUGAGGGAGCGGUAAAAUGUGAUAAUCUCAGGAGGACCACCGAUGGCGAAGGCAGCCUCCUAAAAUGGAUCCGACGGUGAGGGAUGAAAGCUAGGGGAGCGAUCCGGAUUAGAUACCCGAGUAGUCCUAGCCGUAAACGCUGCAUGCCAGAUGUUACACAAUCUUCGAGAUUGUGUAGUGUCGAAACGAAGGUGUUAAGCAUGCCACCUGGGAAUUACGGUCGCAAGGCUGAAACUUAAAGGAAUUGGCGGGGGAGCACUACAAGGGGUGCGGCGUGCGGUUUAAUUGGAUUCAACCGCCGGGAAUCACUAGUGCGGCCGCCUGCAGGUCGACCAUAUGGGAGAGCUCCCAACGCGUUGGAUGCAUAGCUUGAGUAUUCUAUAGUGUCACCUAAAUAGCUUGGCGUAAUCAUGGUCAUAGCUGUUUCCUGAUGUAAAACGACGGCCAGUGAAUU